CACUUCCUCCUUGUCCUCACUGUUCGUGGCAGGGGCCUAUGACUCAGGCUCCUUGAAGGUAUCCAUGGUGAUGUGCAGGAUGGCAGGGGGGUCUCCCCAAAUAUGGCAUGCAGCUCUUUGUAAAAGCAGCAUUCUAUGGCUCAGCACCAGAUUGAUUGCGGCCUCCUUGGCCUUCUGCUGUUCCUGCUGCAGUUCCUUCACCAUAGUGCCGCACGGUUGCUGAUCUGUUAUACCCCGUCCCCUGCAUCCCCUGUGCAAUAGAUGUCCAUGUUUCUACAGCUGGUCCAUAGCUGUGUUUGCACAGCGCUCCCCACAGGCGGAGGAGAUCUAAUAUCUCCUGUCUACUACGUGCCAGAGUGUGUCUGGAGCAUGUAACUGGCAUGGUCAGCUGCCAGUUGCACACAAUAAUGGAGGGCUAGGUGUGCUCAUCCAGAUAGGCAAUCAGGAAAAGUCAUUUCAAAACUUCACAUGGUUUUAAAUGGAGAAGGUGGGGAGCUUCUGGUCAUGACCCCUGGGCAGUGGAGUUAACAAUUGUGACCAGAUCAAUCAGUGUCAGGCAUUUUUGCCAUAUUUGCUAUAUAUGGUCUUCUCUGCACUUGGAUUCAGGAACUUUAAGGCUAAGAUCAGUGACAGCAAGAGCACAAGACAAUUUAAGAAAUAAACAUCCUCUGCAUUCCUUAUAUAACAUCAAUAACAGGAUCAGCUGGUUAGGUAAGAAGCUGUUGGUGGUUGUAGUGAGCCUGAGUGGCCUCCCUCUGAGCAGGAGAGCAAGGGUGCAUUACACGCCCAUUGGAGGGCAAAGCUAGACCGCCCUCCCCACCUCCCCCCCACCCGCUUGUGGGAAGUACCAGGGUGUGGCUGGAAGUAUAAAAGGCUGGCCCUACAGCACAGUUGGAAGAGAGCCUGCGGAGAAGGACGCUGUGCCUGCUCUCCUGCAUCCCCAAGAGAAAUCUGCGCCUGGCAGUUCUCAAUACCCAGACGCUGACGAGGACUGGCCCCAAGUACCUGCUGUUGUAUAUCCCGAGGAGCCGGAAGAAGCCUGGAGGCCGCAGCCAUGAUUUUUCCAUGAUGCAUCACAAUGGUUCUUACUUAAUGUUCAAGACAAAGUCAGGAUUGUCCCCAUUGGUCUGAUAACCUCCUCUGAAGAAAGUGUCAUUCUGCAAAUCACACAUUUCUCUGUGCAUAUUGGGCCUGAUCCAAAGACCACAUAGGUCUCUUAUUAACUUUAAUGGACAGUGGAUCAUGCCCUUGAACAUAACUUCGCCACUGCCUUGCUGCAGCAACUGGCUGCCAAGGCAGCUGGAAAGUUUUCAUGUCUAAGAUUCUGCUUUCAGAGUAAACUUUCAGAAUAAAGCUUUACAGUUUCUCUGCCCAUAACAAUGGCUAUUCCAGCUAUUAGCUCCUACUUUUUGUACUGUUUGACUGAGAUGUAUGUUUUAUACAGGUCAUCUGCUCUUUUAUAUUAAGUAUUCAUAUUUUUUUAAGACAGCAAGGAUUGUGGACAACAUUUUGACAGUGAGCAUGAAAAUGCAAGGGAAGGGAAACGUGACAACACCUUUAACUCCCUUUGAUUGUUCAGCCCAAAUAAUAUCUUCUAUGCAUCAUAAUCUUGACAGUGAAACUUGUAAAAACGUUGAGAGAAUGACAGCAGGGUUACUCUCAUUGUGUGUAAACUAA